GGGGUGAGACCUGCCCAGUGGUUGUAUCUGAAAUUAGGAUGUGAUAUAUGCUGUAUGUUGACAUACAACGCUGAUGCUGACUUUAUAAUGGCAACUAAACGGCUGCGGUAACCUUGACCGUGAUAAUGUAGCGUAAUUAAUCGCCAAUUAAUUGUUGGAAAGUAUGAAAGGUGUAACGAGUGUCCUACUGUCUCCAGAUAAAAACCAAUGAAAUUGAAAUGGUAGUGAAGAUGCUACCUAAUAGUUGUUAGACGAGAAGACCCUAUUGAGCUUUACUGAAGGCUCAUACUGCUGGGUUAGGCGAUGACCUGUAAAACAAAAUACUUGGAUAGUCACAAACUUGGCUAAUCACUAUGUGUUUAGCAAGUGUAUAUAUUUGCAUAGGGUAUGCGACCCACCCAUAGUGGGUCCCCGCAUAUGGGGGGGUAUUAAUGUGUGGGUGUGUUCUAUGUGGCCAGUAUAUGCAUGAGCAAACACAUGAAGUGUACUUACACGGUGAACUAUUGGAGCUGGACAGUUUGGUUGGGGCGACGGCCUUCUAAAGAGUAACGAAGGUAGGCAAUAUUUUUGAAAAAAUUGGUAGAGAUCUAAUUGAUCUAAUGCCUGACAGUGAGGGUAACUAACGAGCUGACACACCCUUUCACCAUAUGGUGGUUAGUUAGAGAAUUGGGUUAAACUUUGCCAUACUCAAUGGCUAUUAUUAACCAUUAAUGUGAGUGAUUAGUCUUGUACAGCCUAUCUUUUACCAGGUAUAUCGGUGAUGGGUUGUCAGGAGUGCUGUGGGCUAUAAUGACCCGCUGGUUAAGUGUGGAAUAGCCAGCGAUUAUCGAAUAAAAGCUACCAUAGGGAUAACAGCGUAAUAUUCGUUUGAGAGUCCGUAUUGAUGACGGUGUUUCCCACCUC
rnacentral:rRNA from 1 species